ACGCCGCGUGAGUGAUGAAGGUUUUCGGAUCGUAAAACUCUGUUGUUAGGGAAGAACAAGUUGGGUAGUAACUGACCCAACCUUGACGGUACCUAACCAGAAAGCCACGGCUAACUACGUGCCAGCAGCCGCGGUAAUACGUAGGUGGCAAGCGUUGUCCGGAAUUAUUGGGCGUAAAGCGCUCGCAGGCGGUCCUUUAAGUCUGAUGUGAAAUCUCGCGGCUCAACCGCGAACGGUCAUUGGAAACUGGAGGACUUGAGUACAGAAGAGGAGAGUGGAAUUCCACGUGUAGCGGUGAAAUGCGUAGAGAUGUGGAGGAACACCAGUGGCGAAGGCGACUCUCUGGUCUGUAACUGACGCUGAGGAGCGAAAGCGUGGGGAGCGAACAGGAUUAGAUACCCUGGUAGUCCACGCCGUAAACGAUGAGUGCUAGGUGUUAGGGGGUUUCCGCCCCUUAGUGCUGAAGUUAACGCAUUAAGCACUCCGCCUGGGGAGUACGGCCGCAAGGCUGAAACUCAAAAGAAUUGACGGGGGCCCGCACAAGCGGUGGAGCAUGUGGUUUAAUUCGAAGCAACGCGAAGAACCUUACCAGGUCUUGACAUCCUCUGCUAUUCCUAGAGAUAGGAAGUUCCCUUCGGGGACAGAGUGACAGGUGGUGCAUGGUUGUCGUCAGCUCGUGUCGUGAGAUGUUGGGUUAAGUCCCGCAACGAGCGCAACCCUUGAUCUUAGUUGCCAGCAUUUAGUUGGGCACUC
rnacentral:rRNA from 1 species